GAUGAACGCUGGCGGCGUGCCUAAUACAUGCAAGUCGAGCGGACGGACGAGAAGCUUGCUUUUCUGAUGUUAGCGGCGGACGGGUGGGUAACACGUGGAUAACCUACCUAUAAGACUGGGAUAACUUCGGGAAACCGGAGCUAAUACCGGAUAAUAUUUUGAACCGCAUGGUUCAAAAGUGAAAGACGGUCUUGCUGUCACUUAUAGAUGGAUCCGCGCUGCAUUAGCUAGUUGGUAAGGUAACGGCUUACCAAGGCAACGAUGCAUAGCCGACCUGAGAGGGUGAUCCGCCACACUGGAACUGAGACACGGUCCAGACUCCUACGGGAGGCAGCAGUAGGGAAUCUUCCGCAAUGGGCGAAAGCCUGACGGAGCAACGCCGCGUGAGUGAUGAAGGUCUUCGGAUCGUAAAACUCUGUUAUUAGGGAAGAACAUAUGUGUAAGUAACUGUGCACGUCUUGACGGUACCUAAUCAGAAAGCCACGGCUAACUACGUG
rnacentral:rRNA from 1 species